ACGCUGGCGGUGUGCUUCACACAUGCAAGUCGAACGAGGUAGCAAUACCUAGUGGCGGACGGGUGAGUAACGCGUGGAAUCUGCCUUUAGAUGGGGGAUAACGGGUCGAAAGACUCGCUAAUACCGCAUAUGACGAAAGUUGAAAGGAGUAAUCCGUCUAAAGAUGAGCCCGCGUCCGAUUAGCUAGUUGGUAGAGUAAAAGCCUACCAAGGCGACGAUCGGUAGCUGGUCUGAGAGGAUGAUCAGCCACAAUGGGACUGAGACACGGCCCAUACUCCUACGGGAGGCAGCAGUGGGGAAUUUUACGCAAUGGGCGAAAGCCUGACGUAGCGACACCGCGUGAGCGAAGAAGCCCCUUGGGGUGUAAAGCUCUGUCAGCUGGAACGAAAAAAUGACGGUACCAGCAGAGGAAGCAUCGGCUAACUACGUGCCAGCAGCCGCGGUAAGACGUAGGAUGCAAGCGUUGUCCGGAUUUAUU
rnacentral:rRNA from 1 species